GACGUAGGGCGCGAGCGUUGUCCGGGUUUAUUGGGCGUAAAGAGCUCGUAGGCGGCUUGUCGCGUCGACUGUGAAAUCUCAGGGCUCAACUCUGACAUUGCAGUCGAUACGGGCAGGCUAGAGUUCGGUAGGGGAGACUGGAAUUCCUGGUGUAGCGGUGAAAUGCGCAGAUAUCAGGAGGAACACCGGUGGCGAAGGCGGGUCUCUGGGCCGGAACUGACGCUAAGGAGCGAAAGCGUGGGGAGCGAACAGG
rnacentral:rRNA from 1 species